AGAGUUUGAUCAUGGCUCAGGAUGAACGCUGGCGGCGUGCUUAACACAUGCAAGUCGAACGGAGUGCUCAUGACGGAGGAUUCGUCCAACGGAUUGAGUUACUUAGUGGCGGACGGGUGAGUAACGCGUGAGGAACCUGCCUCGGAGUGGGGAAUAACAGCCCGAAAGGGUUGCUAAUACCGCAUAAGCGCACGGGGACGCAUGUUUCUGUGUGAAAAACUUCGGUGGUGUGAGAUGGACCCGCGUCUGAUUAGGUAGUUGGUGAGGUAACGGCUCACCAAGCCGACGAUCAGUAGCCGACCUGAGAGGGUGACCGG
rnacentral:rRNA from 1 species